UAGAGUUUGAUCAUGGCUCAGAUUGAACGCUGGCGGCAUGCCUUACACAUGCAAGUCGAACGGCAGCACGGGAGCAAUCCUGGUGGCGAGUGGCGAACGGGUGAGUAAUACAUCGGAACGUGCCCAGUAGUGGGGGAUAACCCGGCGAAAGCCGGACUAAUACCGCAUACGACCUACGGGUGAAAGCAGGGGAUCGCAAGACCUUGCGCUAUCGGAGCGGCCGAUGUCAGAUUAGCUUGUUGGCGGGGUAAAAGCCCACCAAGGCGACGAUCUGUAGCUGGUYUGAGAGGACGACCAGCCACACUGGGACUGAGACACGGCCCAGACUCCUACGGGAGGCAGCAGUGGGGAAUUUUGGACAAUGGGCGCAAGCCUGAUCCAGCCAUGCCGCGUGCGGGAAGAAGGCCUUCGGGUUGUAAACCGCUUUUGUCAGGGAAGAAACGCUCCGGAUUAAUACCUCGGAGUAAUGACGGUACCUGAAGAAUAAGCACCGGCUAACUACGUGCCAGCAGCCGCGGKAAUUC
rnacentral:rRNA from 1 species